rnacentral:lncRNA from 1 species
GAGUCCUAACCUAAAAUAAAAUAGAACAUACUGUGCUUAAAGCAAGGGGGGAAUCAUGUAACAAUAAAACCAGUGAAGAAAAUUCUAAUGCUCAGAAGGACAGGAGUGCUACGUACAGACAAAAAGGUUGAAAUGCAAAAAAAUAAAAAGUGGAAAACAGCUGGUCCUCAGGAUCCUCCAGCCUUUGCCAAGGAAAAGUGGUUUUAAUCACUGAAGAAUGAGGCUUCAACAUAUGGAAAGACUGUAAGGUGUUCCUGGACAGCAAGUGAGUGACUUGCUCACAGGCGGUAAUUCAGGGACCCAGGUUUCUUCUACCUGGUAGCUCUACUGUCCUUCAGAACCUCAGAGCCCUGUGCAUUCAGCCAGCAGGAGAAAGACCACUACUAAGGUCAUUCACUUUGGGAGAAGCCAGUCUUCAUGCCAUGAGGACGUUCAGGCAGCCCUGUGGAGAGAACCACAUGGAAAGGAUCUGAGGUCUCUCACCAGCACCAAUUUGCCAGCUAUGGGAAUGGGCCACCUUGGAAGGAGACUGUCCAGCCCAAGUGAAGGCUGCAGAUAACUGCAGCUUUGGCCAACAUUUGGCUAUAUUGCUUUGGGAAAUCUCAAGCCAGAACCAUCUGGCCAAGCUGCUCUUAAAUUCCUGAUCCACAGAAGUUUUGGAAGGCCCUCUUGUGUGAUCCAGAGAGGUUGCAACAUUUUUUGAGUCAGGUAACAAGACACACAAUUCUUACAGAUCCCUCAAGAGCUGUUUGAAAAAUAGUGGAUUUUAAAAUCUAGAAGGAGUGUGAAAGGAACCCAGGGGCUUUGCCAAUGGAGUGUCAUCAUUCAGGCCCCAUUUUGAAUCUAAACCAUCUGAUGAACCCUUUGCUGACACAUCAGCCUAUUGCUUCCUGGAAGAAUAAUUUGCACUUCAAGACUAAUUCUGAAACAAUACAAUUGCAAGGAGGAAACACAUUUGGAGUAGAGAAAUUAUAUAUGUAUAUAAAACUUAUUAUCUAACCAGGACAUAUUUGAG